ACCUUCCUUUCCUUGGGGUUGCGCUGCUGCCCAAUGAGCGUGCAGUGAGGGCAGUACUGCCGACACCGGAACGACACACUCGCAUCGGCUAGAGCUCUGCUUUACCUUGGUGCAAUUUUUGGAAAA